AUGGACUCCCUCAUGCCGCCGCCGGCGCCGCAACCGUGGAACACCGAAGAUGAUUGUUUGCCACCAAAUAAUGCGUUGUGUAGGCAUGAUGAAGGGCAGCAUGUCCAGAAUUGUGAUUGGAUCAGCACAAUGCCAGAUGAUAUUUUAAUUGAAAUUCUUUCCCUAAUGACAAUAAGUGAGGCAGCAAUGACUGGUUUCCUUUCCACCAGAUGGAGGCAUGUCUGGAAAAAAAUUGACCAUCUCAUCCUUGAUUCCUACGCUUUUGGGAUGCAAGAGUUAGAAAAGUCACGUAACCAUGAAAAUCCUCUUUUGUGGAAUGAUGUAGCUACAAAGUUUGUUAACAAAGUAAAUGGGCUUUUGCACAGUCGUUAUGCCUCUACAGAAAAGCUCUUCCUUGACCUGGAUAACAAGUGUUGCAAGGAAGGUUGUAUGAUUUGUGCGAAAGGUGUGAAUGCUGCUUCAGAGCCAUAUGAAUUCCUCUUGGGGCAUUUUUUUAUGGUAGAGCCUGCUCGUUGGACGAAUUGA
rnacentral:rRNA from 1 species